CUGCCGAAGCAAAUGUUCUGAAUGGUGGCAAGCCAGGGCCUCACCUCAUCACUGGAAAUGGAGUGGGAUUCAAGCCAGACAUUUUGGACAUGGAUAUAAUGGAGAAGGUUCUUGAGGUGAAAGGUGAGGAUGCGGUCAAGAUGGC